rnacentral:tRNA from 1 species
CAAAGGUUAGUUUAAAUGUUAAAAUAAUAGUUUUGGGAAUUAUUGAUGGAUUGAAUUAUUCUUCCUUUGA